UACGUAGGGGGCAAGCGUUGUCCGGAAUCAUUGGGCGUAAAGCGCGUGUAGGCGGUUCGAUAAGUCUGCUGUGAAAGUCCAGGGCUCAACCCUGGAAAGCCGGUGGAUACUGUCGGACUAGAGUGCGGAAGAGGCGAGUGGAAUUCCCGGUGUAGCGGUGAAAUGCGCAGAUAUCGGGAGGAACACCAAUUGCGAAGGCAGCUCGCUGGGACGUCACUGACGCUGAGACGCGAAAGCGUGGGGAGCAAACAGG
rnacentral:rRNA from 1 species